CUGUGACAGCCUCGGAAUACUGUUAUGGUUGCUGAUACAAGAAGUGCUGGAUGAAACAUGGAUUUUGGAUAUGUCAAAGCAUGUGACCAAAGAAGAGGAAAGAUGGUGCCAGGGGAUGUCAGUGGUCCCUCUUUGUGAGGCUUCCUGAUAUGUUCAGUGAGAGUAAAGGAGAAAAUUUCUGCUUUGGCUUUUAUGGUGGUUCACACAAGCCCUCAUAAGGACCAGAAAACUAAGGCUAAUGAAGAAAGUGAAGUGUAAAUGAGGCACCAGAGACAGGACGGGUGGUACCUAUGAAGGAUUCUGCUUUCAAAGGAGGAUGUCAGUGCUGCUUAGAGGUCUCCAGGUUUUGAGAGCUCACACCAUGGGUGCAGGAUCCAGGACAAAGUGACCUUUGGGAACAAAAGGACCAACUGCGAGAGCAGCAGCCCCCCUUUGUCGGCACCGGGGGCGGGAGGAAGCUGUGGGAUCAGCUGGCUGUGCGAUGGGCGAGCCUGCUGUCCCCGGUACCCGGUGCCUGCUCUGCGGGGGCAGCUCCGCGCCCCUCACCUGCAGCUG